rnacentral:misc_RNA from 1 species
AUAAUUUUUAUAGUUUUACUUCCAUUUAUAUAUUUACAUUUGUUUGUAUUUAGUAUUUACAUAUAUAUUCAUGUCACUUGUAUUCAAUAUCAUAACAACUGAUUUCUUAUGUUAUGUACUUCGCUUUAUCAUCCAGUAUGUGACAAAUUUUACUAUCCGCGAUAAAAUAAAAGCAAAGUGGUGGCAAGUGGCAGUGAAUGGUGGUAGUAUCAAAAGCUUGUAGCACGUUUUCUGCUCAUUCAAAAUUUAUAAAACAGUAUACUUAUGAUUGCUUUUGAAUAAUUUGCGGACAGUACAAAUAUUAUAUACAAAAAUGACAAAUAACGAGCAAAGAGAUACUUGUUUAAAAUUGUUGCACCAAUUAAAAGCACAAAACAAAGCUUUUUCUAAGUUUGAAGAAUUAGCUGAUACACUACAGGAUUAUGUAUCAUCAAAAGGACUGGAAGAUGAAGAUAUGGAUUUACUAGCAAAUAUUAUUAUAAAUACUGACUUAAGUGCAACUAAAAUGAUAACAUUAAUAAAAUGUUUGAUUCCCAAAUACAAGGUACCUGAAAACACAUUUAAAAUGAUCACCACAUGGCAUUUAUCAUCAGUAAAUCAACUGCCUAUCACUGUAUCCGUUCUUGUUAUACAGUGGAUCAUUGGUUUAUGGGAUUAUCACUUAAUAGAUAAAAAAAUUAUAAAUAUAUAUUAUAAUGUAUUUUUUUAUGUGAUGUUGAAAAAAGAAAAAUUGGAAAAACAAAUAGCACGUUUAAUUUAUGUUUUAACAAAACCAGAAGAUGUAACACGUAGAGAUGUGUGUCGAUUACUAGCUUUAAAUCAGAAAUAUUCUAAACCUAGAACGCAUAUUAGUGUUUUAUUGUCAUUAUUCAAGUCUUACAAACCUGAAUUGGUUCCUGAAAAAAUUAAUUCUGUAAAUAUAGAAAGUGUAUGGAAACCAAUACCAGAAGUUUUACGAUUAAUGCUGCAAAGUGUGAAAAUACGCUUAGAAGUUCAAGAAACACAUGAUGUCAAUGAAUUAAAUGAAAAAUGUUUUAAAUGGAAUACAGUUGAGUUCAAAAAAGGAAAAAAAAAUGUGACACCUUUAAUGCCAUCUGUGGGAUAUUUUCAAAUUGGCUCUAGUAUCUUUAAAGAAAAAGACUCAACUUCCAUUUUUGAUAUCUCUAGCACCGAAGAACUAGGAAAAUCACAUUUGAGUGUAGAAUUACCAUGUAAUGCCAUAUCUCUCUUAACUAAUACAGCUGGAUACCAUCUUCUUACAUUUGCUGAUUUUCAGUAUCAAAGUAGAUUCUCUUAUAAUCUUUAUAACACUCUAGUAAGAGCGUUAAUGCUAGAGAACGAGAAAUUUUCUGUAGAAGAAAUCAAUAAAUUACUCGACAUGACUAUUGAAUUUUCACGAUAUAUGCAGCAAGGUGUACUUGUUGUUAACCGUUUUCUCAACGAGUAUCUUUAUUUCAACACAGGAGAGUAUCAAUCAAAGUUACUGAUGUUAUUACAAUGGAUGACACCAAUAUCUAGUAGCGAUUUACACAGAAAAAUAUUAGUGCAUAUACAAGAAAUGUUUUAUGAAUCAGAAAUUGAUAAAAAAUGUGAAAUUAUUAAAACAUUGAAGAUGUUGAUUACAAACUUGUUUGUUACACAAGGUUUUGAAGAAUGCUAUCAUACAGCACCUGCACCAUUUUUAGGUCAAACUCAAGUAGACAGUUUAGAAGAUAUUAUUCCCACUCUUACGAAAGUUUCAGAAGAUCUUAUUAUAUCCGGUUUAAAUAUUCAUUCAUACAACACUUUAUUACUUGCAGAAUCAUUGUCAUUUUAUGAACAGGUUUGUUCAUUGGAAGAAUGGAAUAAUGAAGUGUCUGUUACAUUAGCACCCUCUGCAGUAAUUUAUGGAGGUUUUAUUACACAACAUUGUGCAAUUUUAUCAAGGACAUGUCGCUUACUAUUAAGUUGGCGAAGAAAAGAAAUAAUGGAUACUUAUUAUAUAAUGUACCAGACAUAGUGAUAAAAGAUUUAAAUAGUUGUGAUGCAAAUUCUCUUUUAAAUGUUAAUAAUCAUUAUAGUUUCUUACCUUAUAAAUGGAUAUUAAAUAAAUCUGGGCUUAACAUAAAUACAAAAAUGGAUGCUAUAAGAGUAGCUUUACAUUACUAUCCAUCCGUAAAAGAAUUUAUUAGCACAUUUCAAACUUGACGAAUUUAAGUCUAAAAAAAUCAGAUUAUGAACCAGGUUCACAUUACAUUUUUCGGCAAGCAAGCUUCUGGACUUCUCGAACGGGUCUUCUCCUCAAGUGGUGGGGAAAACAUUUUCGUUUAUGUCGAAUCUUUACUGUAUGUAACAUAAUAAAUAUAAAUUGCGUACUUUUGAUAUCUUCCAUAUCUGUACAUUCAUAUCUAUAUAUGUAUAUCCCAUUUGGGCGUUGUUUAUAUACAAAAAAUAUAUAACUAACAAUUUGAA